rnacentral:lncRNA from 1 species
GUUUGUCAUGCAUAAGGAUGUGACUGCACAAUCAGACGACCAGAAUCCUGGGACAAGAAUGGUGGUGAUGUCAACAGAGAAAGCUAGGCGUGGCAAGCACCGCCUUGGUGCUCCUGGGCAGCACUCUGGCCUGUGGUGAGAAACAGUGAACUUCUGCUCCAUUCCAUUUGGAACAAAUAUUUAUGUAAUUUGCAUCUUCAAGUCACAGAAUCCAGGAACAAAUAACCUCAGAGACUGAAAACAUUAGGAAAUGACCAUGAAAGCAAAACAACCAGGAAAGGAGACCAAGUGGCACUGAAAUGUCUACAUAGAAAGUGACUGCAGUUGCUCUGCAUUCUCUCCCUAAUGAGCCACCUAACUGGACGUGGAACACUCCUGCCAGCAGCAAUAGAAUCAGCAUCUCUGUGCUAGUAAUAAGGACUUUCUACUGGUUUUACAUUUGCUUUUGUGUUUUGAAACUAAUGUUUAGUGCUUCAUAGAAGAUGAAUCUGUCUUUAACAUUAGAAAUUUCCAGUACUGCUGAAUUUGCAAGGAGUAAGGUUGUGUCCCAUGAAAAUGAUAGCGAAUCCAAGCUGAAUGCCGUAAUUUGAACACGUUAGUCUAUCUUCCUGGUACUCUUUGAAUCUGAAUGUACAUGUCUCUUGAAAAGGACCAUGCCAGUGUCUAUCAGGAGAUGGAAAAAGAAGUUUCAUGAAAACAGCCAUCUUUCAAGAAAGCCUGUUCCGGAGAUUCUUGGUGAAGGAUUUGUCCCACCCCUGACCUCUGUAAGCCCCCACUGCCUCCCACACAAACUCAGCUUCCCCUUUGACCUCAGGAGACCUAAUAGUCUGUUUCUCAUUUGUACCUCUUCCUUCAGCUAA